rnacentral:rRNA from 1 species
GACGAACGCUGGCGGCGUGCUUAACACAUGCAAGUCGAACGGAAAGGCCCUGCUUUUGUGGGGUGCUCGAGUGGCGAACGGGUGAGUAACACGUGAGUAACCUGCCCUUGACUUUGGGAUAACUUCAGGAAACUGGGGCUAAUACCGGAUAGGAGCUCCUGCUGCAUGGUGGGGUUUGGAAAGUUUCGGCGGUUGGGGAUGGACUCGCGGCUUAUCAGCUUGUUGGUGGGGUAGUGGCUUACCAAGGCUUUGACGUGUAGCCGGCCUGAGAGGGUGACCGGCCACAUUGGGAAUGAGAUACGGCCGAGACUCCUACGGGAGGCAGCAGUGGGGAAUAUUGCACACUGGGCGGAAGCCUGAUGCAGCAACGCCGCGUGCGGGAUGACGGCCUUCGGGUUGUAAACCGCUUUCGACUGUGACGAAGCGUGAGUGACGGUAAUGAGUAAAGAAGCACCGGCUAACUACGUG